AUUGAACGCUGGCGGCAGGCCUAACACAUGCAAGUCGAGCGGUAGAGAGGAGCUUGCUUCUCUUGAGAGCGGCGGACGGGUGAGUAAUGCCUAGGAAUCUGCCUGGUAGUGGGGGAUAACGUUCGGAAACGGACGCUAAUACCGCAUACGUCCUACGGGAGAAAGUGGGGGAUCUUCGGACCUCACGCUAUCAGAUGAGCCUAGGUCGGAUUAGCUAGUUGGUGAGGUAAAGGCUCACCAAGGCGACGAUCCGUAACUGGUCUGAGAGGAUGAACAGUCACACUGGAACUGAGACACGGUCCAGACUCCUACGGGAGGCAGCAGUGGGGAAUAUUGGACAAUGGGCGCAAGCCUGAUCCAGCCAUGCCGCGUGUGUGAAGAAGGUCUUCGGAUUGUAAAGCACUUUAAGUUGGGAGGAAGGUCAGUAGCUUAAUACGUUGCUGAUUUGACGUUGCCGACAGAAUAAGCACCGGCUAACUCUGUGCCAGCCGCCGCAGUAAAAC
rnacentral:rRNA from 1 species